UAGCCACAAACAACAAGCCACUAAUGCUUCCU
rnacentral:piRNA from 1 species